rnacentral:rRNA from 1 species
GGCGAACGGGUGAGUAACACGUGAGUAACCUGCCCACAACUUUGGGAUAACGCUAGGAAACUGGUGCUAAUACUGGAUAUGUGCUCCUGCUGCAUGGUGGGGGUUGGAAAGCUCCGGCGGUUGGGGAUGGACUCGCGGCUUAUCAGCUUGUUGGUGGGGUAGUGGCUUACCAAGGCUUUGACGGGUAGCCGGCCUGAGAGGGUGACCGGCCACAUUGGGACUGAGAUACGGCCCAG